ACCUGGGAAUGGCAUUGGAAACUGGUCGGCUGGAGUGUGGCAGAGGGGGGUGGAAUUCCGCGUGUAGCAGUGAAAUGCGUAGAGAUGCGGAGGAACACCGAUGGCGAAGGCAGCCCCCUGGGCCAACACUGACGCUCAGGCACGAAAGCGUGGGGAGCAAACGGGAUUAGAUACCCUGGUAGUCCACGCCCUAAACGAUGUCAACUGGGUGUUGGGGAAGCGAUUCCUUGGUACCGUAGCUAACGCGUGAAGUUGACCGCCUGGGGAGUACGGCCGCAAGGUUAAAACUCAAAGGAAUUGACGGGGACCCGCACAAGCGGUGGAUGAUGUGGAUUAAUUCGAUGCAACGCGAACAACCUUACCUACCCUUGACAUGUCCGGAACCCUGCUGAGAGGUGGGGGUGCCCG
rnacentral:rRNA from 1 species